rnacentral:rRNA from 1 species
UACAGGGGGUGCAAACGUUGCUCGGAAUCAUUGGGCGUAAAGCGCACGUAGGCGGUUCGUUAUGUCGGAUGUGAAAGCCCUUGGCUUAACCGAGGAAGUGCAUCCGAAACUGGCGAGCUAGAGUACGAAAGAGGAUCGCGGAAUUCCCGGUGUAGAGGUGAAAUUCGUAGAUAUCAGGAGGAACACCAGUGGCGAAGGCGGCGAUCUGGGAAGAUACUGACGCUGAGGUGCGGAAAGCGUGGGGGAGCAAACAGG